CUGAAAUGGUGUGCUUUCCUUUAAGGAAUCAAAACUGACUUAUCAAGCCAAUAAAGCCCUUGGAAAAACUGGCCUCAUAUUUUGUGUACACAGUCCCUGUACAGGAUUUUGACCUGUGGUAAAUAAAGAAUGUCAUUUUCUGAGAGGUGCAGAAGCCCCAGGUUUAUCUUGGAACCUCAAGAGGAGAGGAAAUUCACUGAAAUCAUAGGUAUUUGAUGGCACAAAUCCAUGGCUGGGCUUGGCUUUGAAAAAGUCUUAUCUAAGAUUCCUGCUAUGGAAUAAAGUUCCAUCAAAGCCAAUUUAAAAGCCUAUGUAAAAAAUAAUGAUUGUUGCACUGUAUGCAGAUAAUUAGGCCAAGUAUAAUAAAGCAAAUCAGUUCUAACAUGAUUCAUCUUUAGUAGAAAUUUGAAAACUGGAGAGAGACAAAAAUUAUUUUUCAAAACUACAGUAGACUUGUUUUUAGAUUCUAGUCUUGCCUAAUGUUUUUUCAAUUUUUAUUAUUUUCUACAGUUUGGACCGAAUUCUAAUUUUUCUUGCCUACGAGUCUUUAAAAUAAUGUUUUCAAUUUUUUUUCAAUUAUUCCUAAACGAAGCGGUGCUUUCUUAAAACCCUGCAAACUGAAGCCAGACCACUUAAACUUCAGAAGAAAAUAACAGCAACCUAUUUACAUACAUAAGCCACUUUCAUACCUGCCUACUGAGGUAUGGACUGCAGAGUAACGUGGCUUAUAUUGAUUUUUCCAGGAUUGUUCUUUUGUUUGUUGUUGUUUUUUCUGCCUUCCUCCCCGCUAUUUUAACUUCACAGGAUGUGAGACUUCACAACCUGCUAAGAAUGAGCAUUUAGGACCUACCUAUCUAGGAAUAAACCCUCCUAGCCAUGAGAGAUCAGAUGAAACCCGAGACCAGAGAUUCAUUUUCUUGUAAAAUGUUUUUUCCAAAAGAUUUUUUAAAAAGAAAAGGAGAGAGAUGUGAAAGGAAAAUAUCUGGGGCCCCUAAAAUCACUAAGGAAAACUCAGGCUGGAAACUGCUUAGGGCCAACCUGCCUCCCAUUCUAUUUAAAGUCGCCCCUCUGCUCCCUGAGAUAGAAGCAUAUCUGAUUGCCUCCUUUGGAGACUAAUCAGAAACUCAAAAGAAUGUAACCAUGUGUGUAUCACUCAUCUGUGACCUGGAAGCUCCCUCCCUGCUUCCAGUCUUCCUGCGUUUGCUUCAAGUUGUCACAUCUUUCUAGACCAAAGCAACGUACUUCUUACAUAUAUUGAUUGUUGUCUCAUGUCUCCCUAAAAUGUAUAAAACCAAGCUGUGCCCUGACCACCUUGGGCUCAUGUCAUCAUGUCCCUGAGGCUGUGUCACGAGUGUGUUCCCAACCUUGGCAAAAUAAACUUUCUAAAUUAACUGAGACCUUCAUUUGAGUUUGCUGCUGGACACCCUCAUUGUGUUUAUUGGCCUGUUUCUCUGUUAAUGCCUAUCACGAAUGGCUUGGGUAACUAAAGCUUUGGGAAGUAAUGUAAAGUGGAAGAGUGUGAUGGCUCCACCGACUUUGUAUGUGUAGGAACUGCUUUGGGAAUGCGGGGCAUUUGAUUGUCCCACGGGAUUUUUAGUAUUGUGUUGUGAUCCUAUAUGGAAAACAAAAAUAGGACAUGGUCUGUGUUUUUAUUUAAAGGGUGCAACGGACCUUUUUACAUGAAUCAAUGAAACUGCAGGACCUAGCGUCUGUUUCAUGCUACAGUGAGGAUUUCUUGAUGGAGAGAGCAUUCCAAAUCCUUUCCAGCAAUAUUGAAUAUUAUGUUAUGAUACUGUUAAGCCUAGUCACCCUGCUGUGCCGUACAACACCAGAGUAACUGCGUCUCAUCUGAACAUCCCUUUGCAGCCAUUUCCAAUCCUCCCCCCAGCCUCUGGUACCCACUGUUGACAUUGCUACUCUAUGAGAUUCACUUUGUUAGAUUCCACGUGCAUGAGAUUUUGCAGUAUUUGUGUUUGUCUUCCUCUGCCUGGUUCAUGUUUUUUAACUUAAUGUCUUCCAGGUUUUUCCAUCUUGCUGGUAGUGAACUGAUGUCCGGAAGUUUGAUGGCUGAAGAGUAUACCGUUGUGCAUAUAUCCUUCAAUUCCUGCAUUUUUUAAUCUGUAGAAAGACAAGUAGGUUGAUUCCCCAUCUUAGUUAUUGUCCAGAGUACUUCAUGAAACAUGAGAGGGAGAUACCUCCUUAAGGUAGGUUUGGUUGGCUUUGCAGGUAUACCCAGUGUUGGGAUGGCUAGAGGAACUGGUGGUUGUGUUAAUUGUUUCAGAAACCUCCAGCUGUCUCCCAGCAGGUAUACGAAUUUGCAUUCAAACCAGUAGUGUGUAAUAGUUCCUCUGUCUGCAAAUCUACACUGCCCUUAUCUUCCAAAGUUUUAUUGCUGUUUCUGGUCAUACUCGUUCUCUGGGAAGAAACUCUUCUGAUGUGGACAAACUUUUCUAUUACCUGAGAGUCUGUUUCAGGUUUUUUCAGAAAUGGCUAUGCCAGUCCUUUGGGCAUUUUUAGCAUGUGUUUUGGUUUUUGUAUUUUUGUCCACUUAGGACCAUUAGUUUCUUGAGUAUGUUAGAUAAGAAGCCCUUCCAGAUUGACAGUUUUUCAUAAUUUUCUUCUAGUCUGCAAGAUGCCUUUUAUUUGGGUUCAGUAUUUUCUGUCCUGUGUUGAAGCUGCGUGAAGCUCUGAAGUUGUCCUUAGUCUCACAUGGUCACAUUAGCUUUUGUUAGUGGUGAUUUCUGUGUCCCUUUGAGAAGAAAAGUGAGAUGGCGAAGCCAUUGUAUGGUCUAUGGGUAUUUGGUUCCUAUGUCUUCCUUUUCUGUUUGUGGCUUAGGUUCACAGGUUCAAGUUUACCCACAGUAGACACACACCCUACGUGUUUUCCUUGGAGAUUUUGGUUUCAGGAUUGAACUUAGGUGUUCAGUAGAUUUUGUGUCGCUUUUUGUGUCUUGGGUAAAGGAAAGGUUCGGUCCUUUGCACGUGACCCCUCAGUUUCCUCAACCAUUGUGCCUUUGGUGUGCUUUUGGAGGAACAACAAGAAUCCCAUGGGUUCAGUGUUUAUAAUUGUGGGUUGAUUAUUUGGCUCCUUCGUUGUGUCCAUUCGGUUGUCUUUCUGUGUUCAUGCCACUAAUGGAUGGAUUGGGUCACUGUAGGCUUUUUGUUUUGUUUUGUGUGUUUUCUUCCUUUUUUCUAUUUUUAUUUCCAAAGCUGGGUUUUCUAAAAUGAUAGCUACUUUUAUUGUGAUCGAGGGGUACGCCUGCAGGUUCAUUUCACUACAUGGCUAUACAGUAGAAUUUUGAUGCUUGGGGUCCUAACGUACCUGUCACCCAGGCGGUGAACACAGCACCAGUUGGGUCUUUCUUCCUCCAAGGCUCCCUGUCUCCCUUUUUUUUCUGUCUGGAAGUACCCAGCGUCUCUUGAUUUCAUCUUUAUGUUGAUGUGUAUUGGGUGUUGCGCUUCCACUUAUAAAUGAGAACCUGCAGUGUUUGGUCUUCUGUUCUUGCCUCAGUUGCUUAGCAGAGUGGCCUCCAGUUCCACCCAUGUUCCUACCGAGGGCAUGAUUUUGUUUCUGUGUUUGAUUUUCCUUAGUGGCUUUUUAGCAUUCUGUGAUGUAUAGGAACCACAUUUUUAAAAAUCCAGUUUUCUGUUCGUGGGCAUCUAGAUCAGUUCCACAUCUUUAUUCCUGUCAGUAACACUCCCGUGGACGUGUGAGUGUCAUGUGUCUUUUUGAUAGACGCAUGUGUUUUUCCCUGGGGUAGAUGCAUGGGGUAGGAUUGCUGGGUCAAAGCAUAGCUCUGCCUUCCAUCCUUUUUUUUUUCCAGAAAUCUUCAGACUGGUUUCCACAGUUUAGGAUCUAGUUUGCAUUACCUCCAAGAGAAUAGCCAUGUUUGCUUUUCUCUGCUGCCACACUGUAGCAUGUUAUGUUUUGACUUGGGACAAAUGGCCACUCUGACCAGCAUGUGAUGGUACUGGUACCUCAUCUCUGAUGAUUAGUGAUGUUGAGCGUUUCCCAUGCCUGUUGGAAUGGCAAUCCGUUGGAAAUGUCUUCUCAGUUACUACCCAUAUGUAUGUUGCUCAGGCCACUGUGUGGCCCCAGCACUGUUGGUUUGCAUCGGGACUUGGGGAUUGUUUGUCGUUGUUAGCCAAGACAAAUGUUACACUGCUGUUCCUACAGUGAGUAGUGGGAGUGGGGUAUGGGGACAUAUGCUUAUGCCCACAGUUCCAUCAGAAAUCCCACUGCCUUAAGACAGUCUCACGGGAACCCAGUCCCAGCCUUGCAGCACUGGGUAGCCCUGUGGCAUUUUGACUUUGGAUGUAUCUGCAUUGUUGAAGUCACUCAGCAUGUUGCCAUGCAUUUAUCCACUUAGGUCAAUGUUAAGGGAAGUUCAUCGCCUCUGCUUCUUCAGUAACUGAUGUCUGGUGCAUCAACUGAAUGCAUUUCAGGCUUUUAAGCAGUUCCCACGGAUCUAUGGGUAAAAAAGGCUUUCACCAUGCCCACCUACUCAGUGAGUGACCAAUGUCUCAUUGUUAGUGCAUCUGAUGCACAGAGUUUAGUGGUCUGAGGGAGGUCAGUCGCCAAGCAGAGAUUGAAAUCACAUUUGUAUUUACAUUAUUACUUUUCUACAGCUUGGUUCCUUGCAGGGUUUCACACUAUUUAGUCUGGAUUGAAUCCUUGAAUUACUUUACUUUGUCUACCAAGGCUUUCAAAGAACUUGAUAAACUUGUUCUAAUUAGCCAACAUAUUCAUCCAUGAUGUCCGUAUACCAGGUCUAAAAAUAAAACAUUUCUUAAUGCACACAGGACAUGGAAGGCAAUCUACACAUUUUCAAGUGUAGACUUUGCUUGUGACUCUUUUGUGAGGAAUAGUCAUUGUUACUUUAGGAAAACCCUGAGUUUAUCCAACUCUUGUUAGAAUUGGAUAAGUGUAAAAACCUACAAUAGAAUGCAAGUGUGAGAGCCAAGUCCUCUGGUAAAAUAAACUCAUAUUAUUCUUUAUAUAUGUCUGGUCAUUGUAUUAAUAAAAUCAGUUUGUUUUGGCUGAAACACAUGGUUGGCCUUUACAAUAGAUGUGAAAAUGGGCUUAUAGAUCAUUGCUCUUUAUUGUGAAUAUUAGGUUGUAUUUAUUGCCAAACUCUUUCAACAGCUUCUAAGCAGUGAAUUUCAGUGUGUUGUUGUUGUUCUCCAAGCACAAGCAGCUACUUCAGUUUUACCACAUUCAUCUCCCACACACUGAUGAACCAUAUGGAGACAGCAGGAACUGCAGUAGAACCAGAGGGAGUAGUUAGGACAGACACUCUGAUUCAUUCAUUCUGAUUCUCACUGUUGUCAGUGAGUAAAGGUCAUUGAAUUUUUCUUCUGAUGAAUAAAAUGGACAAUUUUCUCAGUGCAAUGGCUUACUUUUGGAAGAGCAGCCCUAAAGACUUUACUACUGAUCAGUAAAGUCUAAACUGCUUUCUGUGUAUUUUUUUAAUUAAACUUUUAUUUUAGAUUGAAUAAAAAUGUGCAGGUUUAUUGUGUGAUACUGAGUUUUGGGGUAUGAUUGAAGCCAUCACUAAGGUAGUGAGCAUCUCACCUUCUCCCUCUCUUCACUCUGUUACAGAGAACAGACCCUCCCAGUCUUCAGUGCACUCUAAAUACUGGCUAAUUCUGGCCAAUGGAAGGCAUCUGUGGAAGAGAAAAGCCUCAGGUCAUGUGCUAUCUGUCUUUAUUCACUGUGACAUAUUAGGUAAUGGUCACAGCCACUCACCAUGGCCCCAGUUUUUAAUAACAUGACCCUGCUUUUGUGUUCCAGUAACUUGUGUUGUUUUCCCAGUCCUAAGUAUGAUAGAAACUUCCUGCUGCUGCUAAUCUCUGGGUUCCAUUUAAAAUCCUUCCAUCACGUGAAUACUAUGCUGUGUACUAAAUUUUUCCAUAAUUAAAUACUUAGAAUUAUUUUUGCCUACUUAUUUUGCCCCUUAGUGAUAUGUUUUAAAAACACUUAAAAUGUGUUACAAUAUAUUUAGAAAAGGUAGGGAAUGACAUUUUUACUUUCAUCAGCAUUUAUGCUAGCAUUUAUGGAGCAAUGCUAUCUAAAGUAUUUUUAGUAAUUUAAACGUUAUAUAAUACAUAUGCUUUUGAUUCCUUUGUUACUAUGUAAAUAAAUAUAUUUGUGAUAUUCAGUAAAUAGUAUUGAAUACAUGUUUCAUGUAUAUAAUAUAAAGUUAUGAUUUUUUUUAAACAGUACAUCAUAUUUGCUUGUUGGCUUUAUGAUAACUUAGAAAUAAUAUUCUGGAUUAACUGUGUGACUCAUGAGAGAGUUUGUGCAACUAUGUUUCCAAAUUUACUUGAUUUUCAAGACUUACACUAGAACUGUGCGAACAAGGUAAUAAGUAAGCAUAUGUAUUAAUACCACCUUUGGUCAACUCUUGGGUAGCCCCAGUGUUGGCCUCCCGCUUUGGCCUCCCAAAGUGCUGGGAUUACAGGCAUGAGCCACCGCAGCCAGCCAACAUAGAGAUAAUCUUAAAGACUCCAUAAAAAAGAAAAAAAGUGUUAAAGCUGAUAAACACAUUCAAAAUUGAGAAUUACAAAAUUAGCAUACAAAUAGUAUUCUUGUUUCUAUACACCAGUGACAAACUAUUAACUGAAAAACAAAUUAAUGAAGUAAUUCAUUUUAUAAUGGUAUCACUGGGCCCCAGUGGUAGUGUAGGAAUUAACAUAAUUUUUCCUAUUAAAAGUAUUGGAUUUGUUUUGAGAGACCACAGUUAAAAAUCAUUGACAUACAAAGUUUAAAAGUUGUUAGAUUAAAAAAUUUUUAAUGCAUUUCAAGUGGUUUUAUAGAAAAAUAAUUAUCUAACUUGGUUUAUGUUGAUAGGUUGUUUUCUUGGAUAAGAGCUAGACAAAGAGAAAGGGAGAGUAGUGAUAAAUGUCCAGGUUUUCAAGUUGAAAAGUAACAAUCAGUGUAUUAUAACAGAUGGAUGUGAUGUCAGAUUACAAAUGCUGAAAAUGUUAUAUGUAAUCAUGUAGCCAGAGUAAUUAUACAAGGUAAAGAAUGGAAAGGCAUCCAAAUAGGAACGAGGCUGGAGUGCAGCGGCACCAUCUCAGCUCACUGCAACCUCCACCUUCCAGGUUCAAGUGAUUUUCCUGCCUCAGCUUCCCAAGUAGCUGGGACUACAGGCGUGUGCCACCAUGCCUGGCUAAUUUUUGUAUUUUUUAAGUAGAGACAGGGUUUCACUGUAUUGGCCAGGCUGGUCUCGACCUCCUGAUCUCAUGAUCCACCCGCUUUGGCCUCCCAAAGUGCUGGGAUUACAGGCAUGAGCCACCGCAGCCAGCCAACAUAGAGAUAAUCUUAAAGACUCCAUAAAAAAGAAGAAAAGUGUUAAAGCUGAUAAACACAUUCAAAAUUGAGAAUUACAAAAUUAGCAUACAAAUAGUAUUCUUGUUUCUAUACACCAGUGACAAACUAUUAACUGAAAAACAAAUUAAUGAAGUAAUUCAUUUUAUAAUAGUAUCAUAACAAAUAUAAGUAAAUAAAAGACUAAGGAGUAAUUUUAAUGAAGGAUGUGAAAUAUUUGUAUACUGAAAAUUUAUAGCCUUGUUGAAAGAAAUUGAAAGUGACAUAAGUAGAAAAACAUCCCAUAUUUAUGGAUUUGAAAAAUUAAUAUUGUCAAAAUUUCAAUGCUAACAAAAGCAAUCUGCAGAUUAAAUGCAAUCACUAUCAAAAUCCAAUGCCAUUCUUCACAGAAAUAGAAAAAUUAGUCCUAAAAUCUGAGUGGAACCACAAAAGACGCUGAAAAACCAAAGCAAUCUUGAGCAAAAAGAACAAAGCCAGAGGCAUCAGACUACUUGAUUUCAAACAAUAUUAAAAAGUUAUAGUACUUAAAACAGCAUAGCACUGGCAUAAAAACAGACACCUAGACCAGUGUGAAGGAAUAUAGAACCUAUAAAUAAAUCCAUGUGUCUGUGGUCAAUUGAUUUUUGGUAAAAGGACAAAGAAUACACAAUGGGGAAAGAAAAUUCUCUUUAAUAAAUAAUGUAGAGAAAAACUGACUAUUCACAUACAGAAGAAUAAAAUUGGAUCAUUAUUUCACUCUUUAUACCAACAUCAAUUAGCAAUGGAUGAAAGACUUAAAUAUAAACCUGAAACUGUAAAACCACUACAAGCAGAGAUAGGAGAAAACCAUAUGACAAUGGCCUCAGCUAUGAUUUUCUACAGAUGACCCCAAAAGUACAGGCAACAAAAGCAAAAAUACACAAACGAGAUUCCAUAAAACUAAGAAGCUUCUCUGCACAGCAAAAGGAACAGUAAUAGAGUGAAGAGACAACCCACAAAUGGGAAGAGAAUGUUUUUAAACCAUACCUCAGGUAAGGGGUUCAUACCAAUAAUAUGUAAGGAACUCAACCCAGAAAUGAGAAAACAAGCUUACUAAAAAAUAAGUAAAGGACUUGAAUAGACAUUUUCUAAAAACAGACAUACAGAAGGCCAGAUUUUUAUUAAAAAUGUUGAUAAAAAACAUCAACAUUCCCAAUUAUUAGAGAAAUAGAAGUCAAAACCACGAAGAUAUUACCUCAUAGAUGUUACUGAGGUUAUUAUAAAAAGAUGUGGCCGGGCACGGUGGCUCACACCUGAAAUCCCAGCACUUUGGGAGUCCAAGGCAGGUGGAUUGCCUGAGGUCAGGAGUUCCAGACCAGCCUGGCCAACAUGGUGAAUCCCCGUCUCUACUAAAAAUACAAAAAAUUAGCUGGGCGUGGUGGCACGCACCUGUAAUUCCAGCUACUCGGGAGGGUGAGGCAGAAGAAUCGCUUGAACCUGGGAGGUAGAGGUUGCAGUGAGCCAAGAUCGUGCCACUGCACUCCAGCCUGGGUGACAGAGCAAGACUUCAUCUCAGUAAAUAAAUAAAUAAAAAAAUUAAAAAAUGAUGGAAUAUAACUGUUGAUUAGAAUGUGGAGAAAACCAUUGUAUACUGUUGGUCAGAAUUGAAAUUAUUACCACCAACUUGGAAAAUAGUAUGAAGCUUUCUCAAGAAUUUAUAAAUAUAUUCACAUUAUGAUUCAUCAGUGCAUCUUCUGGAUAUAUGUCUAAAGAACUUAAAAUCAGUAUGUCAAAGAGACAACUGCAAUUUCAUGUUCAUUGCAGAGUUAUUCAUAAUAGCUGUGAUUUAGAAACAACCUAAGUGUUUAUCAACUGAAGAAUGGAUAAAAAAUAUGUGAAAAAUUGAAACCCUUAUACACAGCUGACGAGACUUUAAAACAGUCUGGCAGUUCUUCAAAAGGAUAAAUACAGAAUUACCACAUGACUCAGUAAAUUAACUCCUGUGUAUACACCAAAAAGAAAUUAAAACAAAUGCCUACACAAAAAGUAGCAUACAAGUAUUUGUAGCAACAAGAAGUAGGAAAUAACAGCAAUGUCCAUGAAUUGCGGAGUGGAUUAAUAAAAUGUGGUCUGUCCAUAAAAUAUAAUAGUAUUUGGCAAUAAAAAAGGAAAAAGGUAUUAAUACAUGCUCCAAAAAGGAUGAACAUUGAAAACAGAAGUGAAAGCAGUGAGUCACAUGUAACUAUAUAUUAUUAUGAUUCCAUUUACAUGAGAUGUCCAGAACAGGCAAAUCCUUAGUUAGGAAGUAGAUGGAUGGUUGCCUAGGGCUGGGAGGGGUUUAAAGGAAGAGUGGGGAAAAUGGGGAAAGAUUGCUAAUGGGUGCAAGGUUUCUUUUAAGGAGCAUAAAAAUGUUCUAAAAUUACAUUGUGAUUGUUUAUCCACCUAGUUAAUACUCUAAAAAAUUAAAGUUUACACUUUAAAAGAGUGAAUUAAAUAAUAUAUAAAUUAUAUCUCAAUGAACCUGUGAAAAAUAAAAAAAUAUGUGAUAUGCUUACAUAGAUAUACAAAAACUUCUGUUUAUUGUAUUUUUUUAUUUCCAUAGGUUUUUGGGGAACAGGUGGUGUUUGAUUAUAUGAGUAAGUUCUUUAGAGGUGGUUAGUGAGAUUUUGGUGCACCCAACACCUGAGCAGAAUACGCUGUAUCCAGUUUGUAGUCUUUUAUUCCUCACCCGCUUCCCACCCUUUCCCCCAAGUCCCCAAAGCCCAUUGUAGUAUUUUAAUGCCUUUGCAUCCUCAUAGCUUAGCUCCCACUUGCGGGUGAGAGCAUACUGUGUUUGGUUUUCCAUUCUUAAGUUACUUAGAAUAGUAGUCUCUGAUGUCAUCUUGCUGUGAAUGCCAUUAUUUUUUUCCUUUUUAUGGCUGAAUAGUAUUCCAUGGUGGGUGGGUGGGGGUGUGUGUGUGUAUACUAUAUCUAUAAUAUAUAUCAUAAUAUCUUAAUCUCAUUGAUUGAUGGGCAUUUGGCUGGUUAAAUAUUUUUGCAGUUGUGAAUUGUGCUGCUGUAAACAUGUGUGUACAAGUAUCUUUUUCAUAUAAUGACUUCUUUUCCUCUGGUAGAUAACUCAGUAAUGGAAUUGCUGGAUUAAAUGGUAGUUCUACUCCUAGUUCUUUAAGAAAUUUCCACGCAGUUUACCGUAGUGGUUGUACUAGUUUACAUUUCCACCAGCGGUGUAAAAGUGUUAUUUUUUCACCAUAUCCCCACCCACAUUUAUUAUUUUUUGAUGUUUUGAUUAUGGCCAUUCUUGCCAGGAGUAAGGUGGCAUGGCAUUGUGGUUUUGAUUUGCAUUUCCCUGAUCAUUAGUGAUGAUGAGCAUUUUUUCAUGUUUGUUGGCCAUUUUUAUAUCUUCUUUUGAGAAUUGUCUAUUUAAGUCCUUAUCCCAUUAUUUGAAGGGAUUGGUUUUUUUUCUGCUGAGUUCUUUGUAGAUUCUGGAUAUUAGUCCUUUGUCAGAUGUAUAGAUUGUGAAGAUUUUCUCCCAUUCUGUGGGUUGUCUGUUUACUCUGCUAAUUGUUUCUUUUGCUGUGCAGAAACUUUUUGGUUUAAUUAAGUCUCACCUGUUUAUCUUCAUUUUGUUGUCACACUUGCUUUUGGCUUCUUGGUCAUGAAGUCUCUGCCUAAGCCAAUGUGUAGAAGGGGUUUUCCAAUGUUACCUUGUAGAAUUUUUAUGGUUUCAGGUCUCAGAUUUAAGUUGACUUUUGUAUAAGGUAAGAGAUGGGGAUCCAGUUUCAUUUCUUGGGAUGUAGCUUGCCAAUUAUCCAAGCACCAUAUGUUGAGUAGAUUGUCCUUUCCCGACUUUAUGUUUUUGUUUGCUUUGUCAAAGAUCAGUUGACUGUAAGUAUUUGGGUUUAUUUCUGGGUUCUCUAUUCUGUUUCAUUGGUCUAUGUGCCUAUUUUUAUACCAGUAUCAUGCUGUUUUGCUGACUAUGGCCUUGUAGUAUAGAUUGAAGCCAGGUAAUGUAAUGCCUCCAGAUUUGUUCUUUCCGCUUAGUCUUGCUUUGGCUAUGCGGGCUCUUUUUUGGUUCCAUAUGAAUUUUCAAAUUAUCUUUUUUAGUUCUGUGAAGGAUGAUGGUGAUACUUUGAUGGAAAUUGCUUUGAAUUUAUAAAUUGCUUUUGAUGUUAUGGUCAUUUUUGCAAUAUUGAUUUUACCCAUCCAUGAGCAUGAGAGGUGUUUCCAUUUACGUCAUCUGUGAUUUCUUUCAGCAGUGUUUUGUAGUUUUCCUUGUAGAGGUCUUUUACUUCCUUGUUAGGUAUAUUCCAAAGUAUUUUAUUUUAUUUUUUUGCAGCUAUUGUAAAAGGGGUUGAAUUCUUGAUCUGAUUCUCAGCUUGCACAUUAUUGGUGUAUAGCAGAUCUUUUGAUUUGGGUACAUUAAUUUUGUGUCCUGAAUUUUUGCUGAAAUUAUUUAUCAGUUUUAGGAGCUUUUUGGAGGAGUCUUUAGGGUUUUCUAGGUAUACAAUCCAUAUCAUCAGCAAACAGAGACAAUUUGACUUCCUCUUUACCGAUCUGGAUGCCCUUUAUUUCUUUCUCUCAUUCGAUUGCUCUGGCUGGGAUUGUCAGUGCUAUGUUGAAUAGAAGUGGUGAGAGUGGGCAUCCUUGUAUUUAUUGUUGCAGUUCUCAGAGGAAAUGCUUCUAACUUUUCCCCAUUUAGUAUUAUGUUGGCUGUGGGCUUGUCAUAGGUGGUUUUUAUUACCUUAAGGUAUGUCCCUUCUAUGCCUGUUUUGCUGAGGGUUUUAAUUAUAAACGGAUGCUGGAUUUUGUCAAAUGCCUUUUCUGUGUCUGUUGAGAUGCUUAUGUGACUUUGCUUUUAAUUCUGUUUAUGUGAUUAUCACAUUUAUUGACUUGCCUGUGUUAGACCGGAAGAGCUGGGGUGUUCUCAGGAGCCACCGUGUGCCGCGGCAGCUUCGGGAUAACUUGAGGCUGCAUCCUGGGGAAGAAACACCUCCUGUCCGUGGCGCUGAUGGCUGAGGACAGAGCUUCAGUGUGGCUUCUCUGCGACUGGCUUCUUCGGGGAGUUCUUCCUUCAUAGUUCAUCCAUAUGGCUCCAGAGGAAAAUUAUAUUAUUUUGUUAUGGAUGAAGAGUAUUACGUUGUGCAGAUAUACUGCAGUGUCUUCAUCUCUUGAUGUGUGAUUGGGUUCCACCAUGUUGCCGCAGAUGACAUGAUUUCAGUACCUGUGUCUGGCUGAAAAGUGUUUGUUUGUGAAUGGAUAUUGUGGUUUCUGGAUCUCAUCCUCUGUGGGUGGACAGCUUUCUCCACCUUGCUGGAAGUGACCUGCUGUCCAGAAGUUUGAUGGCUGAGGAGUAUACCAUCGUGCAUGCAUCUUUCAUUUCCUGCAUUUCUUCCUCCCUGGAUGGACAGCCUCUUUGCUGCUACAUGUGGCCAUUCAAAUGAGCCCUGGCUAAGUACAUGUGGAUAGAAGUUAAUGUUCGCUUCUUGCAAGCCUGGCCUGUGAUUCUGUGUUGUGAUUUAGAACAUAAAGAAGAAGUGAGACUUGCUGAAUGAGACUCUUGAACGCUUCCUCUGACAAGCUCCAAGGCACACUGGUUGUCUUGCAGUGCUUUGGACAGCUACUCGUUUGUUGGACAAUAAUUUCCCAACAUGGGGACAACCCAGAGCAUUUUCCACUUCCAUAUUCUGCUUCAGUUGCUCAUGGUUUUGAUCGAAGCUAGACAGUGACUGAACCAGGAGGCUCAGACCCCAGGCCAGCGUGGAGUCCUGUGGUUGAAGACAGGCUGGACCAUCAGAGGAAGAAAACAAGUAGCCCUUUUUUCUGGAUUUUCACCUUCUCUGUUUUCAGGAAACCUGAAGCCAAUUAUGUUAUGCAGGCAUGACUGAAAAGAGAUUAUUUUGAGUUGUUUUGGUGGCACCAAGAAAUGUGCCAAUGUGACAGCCAAAAAAGCAGAAAGACCAAGGCAUUGAGAGUGGGAGAGCCACUGAUGAUGCUGGGUCUGGUAGGCUUUUCGAGAUCUCUCCCAGCCCCAAAACAGCCAAGCAACUCUGUCCUGGGUUGUGAGUGGGCUCAGCCGCCCCUGUGCACACCCAUGCUUGGAUUCUGGCACACAUGGCACCCACAGGAGGCAGUUCCCCCUUCAGGAGACUGGUUGGCAGGACCCUGUCUCCACACGCAAAGACAGCAGGCAGAACCCACACGUCCUCUAGUUUUCCCAGUGUCACUCGCCCAUGGGGGUUCACGAUGAGACCCCACGGGUCCAACCUGCAGGCAGAGUUGCCACCCCAGCCUGAGGCAAAGUGGACCUUUUUCUGCCAGAGGGGUCUGCUUUCCCAUUGGCCAAAAUGGCCUCAAAUGACAGGGACAGAACAAGGCACAAGUGUACCCAUUAGAGUGUCUGAGCCCGCCUGGUGUCUGCUUCCACACAUCUCCUGGGAGGUCCCAGCAGGCACCCAGGCCUGGGCCACAGCUCACCCCACAUUCAGAGGUGGGUAGCACAGCUGCCCUAUGCAGGCCUCAGGGAGGAAAGGGAGAAAGAGAUGACAAAAGCAAGACACAAGAAAUGCAGCAAAAGCACACAAACACACACACUGACACUCAUCUGGGGCAGGCCAUCCUCUCACCCAUGACCAGCAGUGCAGGCAGCUGAGAGUUGGGCAGGAGGUGGUGCCACCAUCCCCUGAGUUAGGGCCUGGAUCCAAGGAAGAACAUAGAGUCCCUAGAGUCAAGCGCCACUGACCUCAAGACCUGCAGUUUGCAGGGAGGGGAUGCUGUGAGAAGAACUGUUCUAGGUCACAGCGAAAUAUGUCUGACUUCAAGAAAAUAUUUGAAACCAAAGUACAUUUAUUGAAGACUCUCAAUGAUAUAAAAAAGCACAGUUUAGAAAAUGUGAAAGCAAUCACUGAACAUAUUCAUAUAUUUUCAUCUAAAUUUAGUUACAGAGUUUUUCUAAAACUGGGAUCAGGCCAGGUAUGGUGGCUCAGGCCUGUAAUCCUAGCACUUUGGGAGCUUGAGGCAGGAGGAUCGCUUGAGGCCAAGAGUGGAGACCAGCCUGGGCAACAUGGUGAGACCCCUCAUCUCUACCAAAAAUACAGAACUUGGCCAGUCAUGGUAGCACACUCCUGUAGUCCCAGCUACACAGAAGGCUGAGGUGGGAGAAUUGCUUGAGCCUGGGAGGUUGAGGCUGCAGUUAGACAAGACUGCACCACUGCAUUCCAGCCUGGGUGACAGCCUGUCUCAAAAAAUAAUAACAGUAAUUCCCGAUUUUAAUAAUUAUUCUAGAGUUGUGUAAAAGAAUACCCUUAGGAAAUGCACACUUUGGGGUAAUUAUGUCUAUAGUUUACACUGAAAUCAUUAAAAGAGGUAUGUAAACAGACAAAGCAAAUGGGACAAAAUGGAGCAAAUUUCUACAAAUUUUAGAAAUUGGUGAGUCUUGGUUAAGAGAAGGAGGAGGAUUCUUGGUACUAUUCUUGUGACUUUUGAAAUUAUAUAAAAAUUUUAAGUUCCUAAAAACUGGCUGUAGAACUAUACGCUCAGAGUGAGCAUUUAUUUUGUAAAAUAGUGAUUAAGACCAAAUCUUUAAUCAGUUAAAAAUCUGAUCAAAUAAAAGUAGUAAUAUAUUACGGUAUUUUUGACAUCAAAUCAUUGUAAAGGGGCAAUAACUUACAAGUUUGUCUCCAAGCACAGUACAUUUUUAUGGAUUUUUAAAGAAUUCACGUUCCCGUAAUUCUUACCUUCCUCCACCUAAAGUGACACAGUUUACCAAAUAAUUUGGAGUAAUGGUUAGAUUGGGUUAAAUUCUCAAGGCUUCCUCUUUAAAAAUCAUACAUUUAAUUCGGGUAGGGAAUGACUUGGCUUCUUUGUUCCUGUGAAAGAAGUAUAUAAAAAUGCCCCCUUAGUAACUAUGCAGUCAGCUUACUAUCUCAGCAAAGUCAUUGUGAACUUCUUCCCUGUCUCAGGUUGGAAAUAGGAACCAAUUCAAGGUAGAUUAAAGACUUAGGGCCGGGCGCAGUGGCUCAUAUCUGUAAUCCCAACACUUUGGGAGGCCGAGGUGGGUGGAUCACGAGGUCAAGAGAUCAAUACCAUCCUGGCCAACAUGGCCCGUCUCUACUAAAAAUACAAAAAUUAGCUGUGCAUGGUGGUGGGUGCCUGUAGUCCCAGCUACUCGGGAGGCAGGAGAACCACUUGAACCCGGGCGGCGGAGGUUGCAGUGAGCUGAGAUUGCGCCACUGCACUCCAAUCUGGUGACAGAGCCAGACUCCGUCUCAAAAAAAGAAAAAAAGACUUAAAUGUCAGACCUGAAACUAUAAAACUACUAGAAAAACAUAGAGAAAACUCUUCAGAACAUCGGCUUAGGCAGAUAAUUUAUGGAUGAAAUCUCAAAAGCACAGGCACCAAAAGCAAAAAUAGUUGAGUGGGCUAUAACUUCUGCACAGCAAAAGAAUCAACACAGUGAAGAGACAGCCCCUGGAGUGGGAGAAAAUAUUUGCAAAUUACUCACCUGACAGGGAACUAAUGUGCAGAGUAUAGAAGGAACUCAGACUCCUCAAAAGUUAAAAAAUCAAUGCCAUUAAAAAUAGGCAAAGGACAGGAAUAGAGACAUACAAAUGGCUAAGAUGUAUAUGAGAAACUGCUCAACUUCAUUGAUCAGGGAAAUGCAAAUCAAAACCACAGUGGGAUAUUAUCUCACCUCAGUUAGUAUGGGUAUUAUUAAAAAGACAAAAAAUAACAGAUGCUGGUGAGAAUGAAGAGAAAAGGAAACUCUGCUACACUGUCAGUAGGAAUGCAAAUCAGUACAAGCAUGAUGGAAACCAGUAUAGAGAAUUCGAAAAAAAGAAAAAAUAGAACUACUCUAUGGUCCAGCAAUCUCACUGGGGGGGUAUUUAUCCAAAGGAAAGAGUUCAGUGUAACAAAGGGGAACUUGCAUGCUCGUGUUUAUCACAGCAUUAUUCACAAUAGCAAAGACACAGGAUCAAUCCAAGUAUUCAUCAACAGAUGAGUGGAUAAGAUGUGCUAAAUAGACACAGUAAAAUACUAUUUGGCAUAACAAAUAAGGAAAUCGUGUCAUUUUCAGAAACAUUUUCAGAGACAGAAGGACAAAUACUACGGGUUCUCACUCACGUGAGAGCUAAAAAAACUUGAUCCCAUGGAAACAGAGAAUACAAUGGCAGUACCAGAGGCCAGGAAGACUGGGUAUGUGGAAGGGAGAAUGAAGAGAAGUUGGUUAUUGGGUACAAACCUACAUUUAGAAGAAAUAGGCUGUAAUGUUUGACAGCAGGCUGUGGUGGCUAAGUAAUAUUAUUAUGUGUAAAUAUUCAAAGUAACCAGAAUACGCAUUUUAUGCAUGUAACAAGUAUUUGUAUGUACCUUACAAAGAGGUAAAAUAUUAUGUGUCAAUAAGAUGGAGAGGUUAUGCCCAAGCCUCCAGAGAGGGGCUCCUUGGAUCCGCACAGCACAUCCUGCAUACCUGCAUCCACUGCUGCGCUAUGCUCCUCGUAUCUGAGCCUUCAUGCUCUGGUCCCCGAGGCAGGUGGUGCUGACUCAGGUGGCCACACUGUGGACCUGGGUGUUGGUGGCCCAGAGGGUGGGUGCUAGAGGCUUCCUGCCCUUCUUGUUCCACUGGGACCAGACGGAGCCAGGCAGUGACAGGGUACCACCUUCUUGACCGGAUCCUGGAACACAGGAGUGUCACCUGGCCCCUCGUCAUCCCAACUUAGCACCCAAAGUACCCCCGGGCCGGGGCCAUGGCUGGGCUGGAACUCAGGAUGGUUAGGAUGCAGCUCAAGCCUUGUGGCAUCUCUGGGUUCUCUGUCCACUGAGGGUGCCCUGGGAUGCAAAGCUGGUGGAAGAGGUUGGCAUUUCCCCAGCCUAUCCUCACUCAUGCCAAGCACCCCAGACUGUCCUUCCUGGUCCAUCGCCCUGGUCACAUUCCCCAGGGCAGCUCAGGGCUUUGUUCAGGGAUUUCCUGUAGUCAGGUGCCUGAUAAGUGUUGAGACGUGCAAGGCCACGUGGGCAGAUGGGGAGGUGCUCUUUGGUGAGCACCCCCAGCAGGGCAGUCCCCCACCCAGGUGUCUGCCUGCUCCUGCUUGUGUUUGACUGUUAACAGCGCUUCAUGCCAGGGCCACCAGCUCCCAUCCCUCCUGUCAGGAAGGACACAGACAGCAAGUGCCUGGGUGGUAAGGCAUUUGCCAGGUAACACAGGUGGCAAGUGCCAGAGCUGGGAUUUGAACCCGGAUCAUGGCACUCUGUGUGGGGCAAUGGAAGGUUUGAGAACGCCCAUGUAGGAAGGAAGGGCAGCCUGGCCCCACUGAGCCCAGCUGCUCCCUGUGACCCUGGAGGAAACUAUUCAGCCCCCAGCUGGGGAGAGAGUCCAGGAGGCCAGGCUUCCCCUUGCUUCCUGGCUCAGGGGAUCACAGAGGGACAAGGAAAUUUAGUGUAUGUGUCUUCUUUUUGUUUCAUUCAAAGUUUAAUUUAGUAUCAAGCAAGAGGAGCUUUAGUAUCAAGCUCCUCUUUUUAGUAUCAAGCAAGGUAGCUUAACCCUUCAUAAGACUUCAGUUACAAAAUAGUACUUUUUUUUUUUUGCACUUGUGAUUGGCUUCCCCUCUACUUCUUUUGGUAAGAGUAGGUUGGUGUCCAGGCUCAGAAUCCAUUUUUCCUCCCACACCAAAGCACCUGUGGUUUGGGUGAAGCAGCCUGGAGCCUGGCUGCAUAAAGCUUUGCAGCAGGAGGGUCCCGGUAGGAGGGUCGAGGUGCUACUUGCCCUGGUCCAGCUCAGAGGCCAGCACCAGGGAGGCUCAGUGUCCUGUUCCCAGGAUCUGCACAUGGGGUUGCCUUUCUGCAUCUCCCCAUCAGAGUGGUAGGUGCUCCUCCAAGCCCCCUCAUGCCGGCCUGGACACAGCGGUCUGCACCUUGACCCUAUUGCAUGCCAGUGGAGCAGAGCCCCCCAGGCCAGAAGCCCCACAGCUGUUGGCCCUGGCUUGGACACUGGGCAGGGGGCACCAGGGCAGGAGCUGGCUGCAAUCCUGUGGCCCCAAAUGCCCCCUCGCUGAUGGCCUCAUGUUCUGUUCUGGGUGCGGAGCAAAGAGGAGCAGGUGUCGAAGGCACCUCAGGCAGGCGCUGGGCUUAAUGGGCGUCUUGUGCUCCAUGAUUUUGAGGCCAUUUGCAGCCAGCUCCGCCAGCCCGAGCUCCGAGCUGCAGCUGCUGCCAUGCACAACAGCACCGCCAGGAGUGUCCUGGGGGCUUUCUUCAGGGGAGGCUGUCAGCAUCCUCAAGUUCCAGCUGCUUAGCCCCAGUCCUCCUUCAAGAGGCUUUUUUUUUUCACCAGCGGCUUCUCAAUGGCCUGAAAGCUCAGCUGACUCCCACAAAGUUUGCCGGGAACACAGGGCUGUCAGUGACAUUCCUGGCGCCAAGACUUAAGCACGUGGGUUGCACGCAUCGGCCAGUGUCUGUGCCACGUACACUGACGCCCCCUGAGAUGUGCACACCGCACGCGCACGUCGCACGCGCGGCAGCGGCUUGGCUGGCUUGUAACGGCUUGCACGCGCACGCCGCCCCCGCAUAACCGUCAGACUGGCCUGUAACGGCUUGCAGGCGCACGCCGCACGCGCGUAACGGCUUGGCUGCCCUGUAACGGCUUGCACGUGCAUGCUGCACGCGCGUUAACGGCUUGGCUGGCAUGUAGCGGCUUGGCUUGGCUUUGCAUUCUUUGCUUGGCUUGGCGUUGGUCGCUUGGAUUGACGCUUCCUCCUUGGAUUGACGUUUCCUCCUUGGAUUGACGUUUCCUCUCUCGCGUUCCUUUGCUGGACUUGACCUUUUC
rnacentral:lncRNA from 1 species